CCCCUCCGCCCUCGGCAGGGCCUCAUUGCGCCACGCCAGCGGCCUCCACCGCCCCCCGGCUCCGCCAGCCCCAGGCAGAGCCCACUGGACCCCGUCAGGCGCGGAGCUGCAGCAGCGGGAUGGGCCUCACCCCUGCCGCGGGCGGGGAGAGCAGGCACCGCCUCUCUCGCUUCCCCCGGCCCCGCCCCUCGAGCCUCAGAAGAACCAUCUCAAGCAUUGGUCCAGCUCUCUCCCAAGGAGCCGCGGCAGGGAGCCUCAGAGCUGAGCAGAAGAGUCCAGGAGGGGGAGAAGCCGGUAGUGAACUUGGAGACCACACCCAAGCAGAAAAGAGCAGAGUCCAAUUCAACCCCGAAGCCUGAGAGCGCUGGGAA
rnacentral:lncRNA from 1 species